rnacentral:lncRNA from 1 species
AUACAACCAGAUCAAUAGAUUUUUGUGUGUGUGAAGCUCUCUCUCCUUAGAAACCCUUGUGUGUGUAUGACUUACUACUACUCAACCCUUGUGUGUGUAUGACUUACUACUACUCGUGUGUGUGUAUGACUUACUACUACUCAACCCUUGUGUGUGUAUGACUUACUACUACUCGUGUGUGUGUAUGACUUACUACUACUCAACCCUUGUGUGUGUAUGACUUACUACUACUCGUGUGUGUGUAUGACGUCUCAACUGACAAGGUGAGAAUGCGCACUGACGUUCCCUUGGCUAUAUGCGUUCCCUUGGUCAUUUCUGCGACUCUUUUUUAUUCAGUUUGAGGGUUUGGGUUUUUUAGGGCUUAGGGUGACUCGGGUUGGAAUUCGUCGAAUUCGAACAUCUGCUGUAGGGAAUUCUGCAGAUUUCUAUCUCGAAUUUGUGCAGUUGGGUUUUCGUUCCUCGCCAUCGCCAAGAUGUCUGCGGCCAGAGUGGUGAUGGGACGCGCCAAGCGUGGCUUGUACGCAGGUCGUCAUAUUCAAUUCGGGAAUCAAGUCAGUGAAGACGGUGGCAACAAGUGAGUCUUUGUCGUCUUGGGGGUGUUGAAGCUGUUUUCUUUUUUCAGUUCGUUCGUGAUUGUUGUAAGCAGUAUUCCAGUUUGUGUAUGGAAUGGUUUUCGAUGCAGAAUCAUUGUUGGAUUUUGGUGCUUGGAGAUGUUUUCAGUGGUGGGUACUUUGUGGACUUUGGUUUUGGCUUCAGAUCACGUCGGACUUGGAAACCCAAUGUGCAAACGAAACGGAUUUUUAGUUUGGGGUUGGAUCGGUACAUCAAGAUGAAUAUUACCAUGCACGCCCUGCGGUGCAUUGACAAAGCUGGAGGGUUGGACGAGUAUCUGUUGACUACGCCCGAACACAAAUUGGACAAUGACCUAGCCCGGGAAUGGAGGACAAGGAUCGCGGCAGUGUACAACAAACUGUACACAAUGGAAGUUGCCGCUCUAACUGUAAAGCCUGGUUGCGAGAAGAAAUUGCCUCAGCACCUUCAAGCCAGGUCAAGAGGGUUUACGCUAGAACAGUUGAAAGCUUUAGAAGCUCGCAAUUCAUCACACUUAAACGCUUUAGAAGCUGGGAAUGCAUCGUAGAGGUAAGUUUUUAUUAAAAGAAUGUUUAUUGCUUUGAAGUAGUGUACGAGGUAUUUGGGAGGGUUGACUAGGGUGAUUUAGAUAUGAUCAUGACUGACUUAAUGAACUCGAGACACUAGUGGCUUAGAAUUUAGAGAUUGUUUUUAUGUUUUACAGGAGGAAUGGUCUGAAGACAUCCACGUUAUGCCGAUGUUCAUUUGCCUUCAGUGAAGAACAAGAGCAGUCAACUUCACUUCACAUUUUGCUGAGAAAAUAAACCACAGUUCAUGUGCAUGUGUCUGUUCCAAAACGAAAAUAUAAUUUGGGGUAGCUCUUGGACAUGCGAAUUGUUACAAUUCAGUGCGGUCUUCAGGCAUGUUAAUAGAAUUAGGAAGUUAUAUGUGAUCCCAGAAACUAUGUUGGAUCGAGUAUUUAUUUUUUAUUCACGUGUUCGCACGGACCGUCCUGUCUUAGAGUGAACUUUCAAUUAUGUAGCCGUCAUUGUGGCUAGCUGGACGGCCUUCGUCAAGUGCGUUUUAACUUAGGCUAAUUCAUGUCACUUGCUUGCAACAAUGCUAAUACUGUUUCAUAUUCAGUCAAACCGGGAAAGAUUUCUUUUUCUACCAGGUUAAAACUCAAAUCCUCGGCCGUCAUAUUCGCAAUGGAAAAGUACCAUGCCUGAAGAACGAGGAUGAUCACUUCUUUUGUGUGGACCAGUUCUGUGUUUUAUUGCGAAUGACUUUUAUUCAACCUAAGCCUCCAGAAAUAAGCAACAGAGGCAGCAUCGUAAGGUGUGCUGUUCAUGAAAUUAUAGGGAUCUUGACAAUGUGAUUAUCGUUGCUACCGUUUCUUUGUGCGCUUGAAUUCUCUAAGCCCUACAUGGAACAGUCUACGUUCAUAGCUGCAAUAUUGCCAGAAAUGAUGGUCUCUUCAGCGAAUUCGUUAUGUUUCUUGCCUUGGUCGCUGAAACUUAAAACACAAUAUUUAAAUCACGGGAUAUAUGUCGUUGCUUGAAUCUUAGCUUAGAAGAUUAUCGUGUUCAUUUUGUGCCUGAAUUUCCUCCCUGAUUUCCUACAGCAUAACCUCCAGCAUGGCCUCCAGCAAAGAAUGUUGUGCUCACGAACAAAUACGAUGAAUUAGUUUGCAAUAUUCAAGGUUACCUGAUGUCGAGCACGUUGUGCAUUGUCAAUGACUGAGCGCUGUACUAGCCUUUGCUAGUAAAAGGCCCUUACUGAGUUCCUUGUACAACUGCUUUAUGAGGUGAAACCCACUAGAAGCCUUGAACAAUGAUGGGAACUUAUUUGUUGCUUUGGAACAAUGGGUUAGGGAUCUUGGCAUGAUGUAUAGAGUGGAUCAUUUCAAUUUUGUCAGCUUUAAUGAAACUUUGCCUGUGGUGCCUCCAUUCCCCCGCCAUGCUUUCCAACUGCAAUAUUGGAAUGCCCUUGCUUCCAGAAAUUUAGCUUAGUAGUCUUAAUGCUGAAGAUCUAGUUUACAUGUGAAGAUUAAAACAGUUCUGAAACUUUAAAUGUUACUUCUGUGUGAAUGUGAAUGUGCCUCAUGCUGUGCGUUUUCCUGUAAAAUCUGAUGUGUAAAAUGGAUUUUUCUAGAAUAAGUCCACCAGCUAACAAUUUUUUAUUUUUUAUUUUUUAUUAUAGGAAAAUUUAGUAAUGUUAAAUAAAUAACUAAAAUUUUCACAUGAAUUAAGAUACAAUCUAGAUUUUUUAAAAAAUAGUAACAAAAAUCUAUGCCCUGUACAUAACCUUAUAUUAAAACAGACAUUGCUAAUGUAGUAGCCAUCAUUUAAAUUGACCAUUUGAUUUUCAAUUAAUGUAAAGAAUUUAUGAAAAUACCAAUUUGUAAAAUAAACCCAAGUUUUACAAUCAAAUAAAGCAUUUUGUAUCUGAAAUACACUUUGCUGAUUUUCAAAAAAAAUGUUUGCUUUAUAUUUAAUCUGUUAUUAUAGAAAUUUUCAUGAAUAUCUAAUAAUGAUUCCAGAUGAAUUUUUGCUGUUUUUUGAAUUAUUUAAAAAUUAAUCAUUGCAUAUAAAAGUAAAAUCACUGGUUUGACUCAAAAUCUGAAAACUGUGUAGAUUUAAAAUCGAAAUUUAAAUCUUAUAUUAUGAUGCAUGCAAUUAUACUAAUGCAUUGUUGUUUUCAUUUCUAUAUGCAAAUAAUUCAAUCAACACCUAGACCAAUAAUCACAACUAUAUAAUGUUAAGAUGAAUUUUAGAGAUAAUUGCUUUAGAAUUAGAAAAAAUGUUAAUAAUUGUGUCAAAACUUUGAAAAUGUUUUGGGUAUGUUUAUAAUAUUUUGUAGAAAUUUUGAAAAAUAAUAUUAUAUUUAUCUUUCAUUUGUAGCACAUAAUUAUUGCUACUAUGUUUAUAUAGCUACCAUAUUAUUAUCUUUGUGCAUAAAUAUUGUUAGAGUUUUUGUAGAAAUUCAUUCAAUUAUGAUUGUAUUAUUUAAAAAUAAUGUAAUACAAUUCUCUAGUUUAUUUUAAUUUUACAUUUAAACUUGUUCAUUUAGAUUUUUAUAAUUAAUUUAUUAUCCAUCUUGAUAGAUCUUUUGGCUUUUAUAAUAUAUAUAUAUAUAUAUAUAUAUAAAACUUACAAUUAUAAUAUUUUAGUAUGUUGAUAUUAUUACUUUUAACAUUUAAUAUUUAUUUUUAAACUUCAAUUAGAGGUACUUUAGAUUUUUUUAUUAAUAAUAUCAUCUAUUUAUUAAGCUUAUUUAUAGAUUAUACAUAUAUAUAUAUAUAUAUAUAUAUAUAUAUAUAUUAAUAAAUUCUUUUGUCUAAAAUUUAAAAUAAUUUUAAAUAUUAAUUUUUUUUUUAAAAUACAAGCCUUUAUACAAUAAGAAUUAUUAAUAAUUUUUAAUAUUGCUUAGAUCAUUUUGAAAUCUUAUUUCAUAAUUCAAGUAUGUAUUUAGUUUAAAUAAUUAAUUAUUAAUUAAUUUUAUAAAAUUAUGUAAUUAAUUACAAAUCAUUACUAUCAAAUAAUAUAUCAAUUCUAAUUAUAAAUAAAUAAACUAUUAGAGCUUUAAUAUAUAAAGCCUUAAAGACCUAAUAAACUUCUUCUCUUGAUCUAUCAAGACUUUAGAAUGUAUUCCAAAAGAUUCUAAACAUAAUCAAGAGAAGCCAUAGCUAUUAAUUUUUAAGAAUUAUAUUAUAGAGCCAUAAACUUGAUUUACUUGCUCAAAUGCUCCACCAUCAUAAAUAUGUAUUUAGCUUCAUAUAGAGUGACAAAAAGUGGCCCAAAAAAAUCCAAAGAUAAAAUCUAUGAUUGAUAAAGGUCUCAACUGAAAUGAUACAAACUUGAUUUGAUUCAAUUAUAUACUUUAUACUAUAAAAAAUAUGUAGCAACCUAUUGAUAUAUGUUAGUCUACUAAUAUUGAUUGCACAACUUAGAAUAUGUCAGUCUAUUAAUAUUGAUUGUACAAAUUAGAAUAUACCAUAUACAUUCCAAAAAUAAAAUCUCCUUAUGUAUUUGCUACAUCAAAGAAGCUAUUUGAUUUAGCUUUCAAACUAUAUGUGUAGUUCCAUCAUACCAUACAUUGAAUGAUAAAUAUUUAUUCUAAUAAAACCUUGCUAUUUUGUAACUAAUUCUAUCAUGUUGCAUAGAAAUGAUAGCUAAAAAUAAUGUCUCUUGUUGAAGCUUAUGUAAGAUUGUAAGGUCGUCAAAUAUAUUAUUAAACAUUUAGAUUUUAUUGGAUUCUUCAUUCGAAUAUUAAUUAGAUAACAUAGAUGCAAAACAUGAUACAAAAGUAACAUAUAUUAAUACAUACUAUCCAAGAAUUGUUUCUUCUUCACAAUCCUUAUAUCUUUUAGCUCUAAUCAAGACUUUUUUUGAAGUACAUGAGUUAUAAGGAAGUCCAUCUGCAUCUAAAUUAAUAAUUUUUGUCUAAUACACAACCUCAAAGUCAUAUUUUUUAAGCAAUAAUGCCAAUCUAACAAGCUUAAUGGUAAAUUUAUUUGAUUCUAUAAGCUACUUUGAAGGUUGAUAUUUAGUCACCAAUAUAAAUUAUUAUUCAUACAAAUAAGAUCAAAAGUAAGUAAUGACUCAAAUUCUUGUCAAAACUUCUUUUUUAUAUGAUGAAUAGUUGCAUUUUGAAAUGCAAUGAUAUAUUCAUGCUUUAUAUCAUCUUUAUGUACUAAGAUUAUUCUUAAUCUUAUUACUCUCUUAUCUAUAUGCAAUUAAAAAGGUCUAAUAGCAUAUAGAUGUCAAAGUACUAAAGUUCAAUCUAAGUUUUGCUUCAAUGAAUCAAUUGUAUGUUGUUGCUUAUAAUUCCAAGUCCAUAAUUGAAUCUUACUUGUAAAAAUAAUUAAAGAAUUGGAAAUCAAAUUGAAGUUCUUAACAUAUUGAAGAUAAUAAUUUUUCAAGUCCAAAAAAAUUCAAAAUUAUGAAAUAUUAAUUGAUAUGAAGAUCCUUUGCAAAACAUCAAUCUCUAUUUUUUAUAAGCCAAGAUUUCUUAGAACAAUAAUGUGGCCUAAGAAUAAUAGUUAAUUGUAGAAGAAUUUAUAUUUGUCAUGAUGCAUGUACAAUCUCUAUAGCCAUAAUUGCUUAAAUAAUAUUUAUAAAUGUAUAAUAUAAUAAUAUUAUAAAUUGAUGAAAUAAAUGAUAAAACAUUUUGAUUUUUAUGCAUUCUAAUGGCCUUUUAUUUGUUUAGCAUUAUCAUUAUAUUUGAAAUAGUAUACCAAUGUAUUUUUUAUAUUAUAGGUCAUAUUCAAUUGUUGUAAAAAUUAAGUUAGUUGAUUUAUUUGCUCUUUUAUUUUUUGGCUCUUCAAAUGAUGAAGUUGCCUUAUGUGCAAAUAGUAUAAAUAUUACAUCUCAUAGAUCAUUCCUUUGAAAUAUACCUCUCAUCAAGAAUUGCCAUUUUUUAUACUUGUAACUUUUAUUAAAUAACAUAUUUUCUUGUUUGAAAAUACAUCGAGUACUUGGCUAUAGAAGAUGAAGUUGAAACAAGACCUAUCUAUCUCAAGUGUUUAAGAUCCUUAUAAUCCACAGUAAUAUAAAACCUCAUCAUAAGAUAGGACAAACUAGACCAGAACAAAAUUGAAUAAAAUUGAAUAGAAUGGGACACAAAGAACAAAAUUGAGCAACCAAAAUUAGAACAAAAUAAAACAAAAUAAGAAGAUACAAAAUCCAAUUGUAUUAAGACAAAAGAUCUGAAGCCAUACCUAACUAAAUAUCCCUAAAGGCCUCAGCUAAUUCUAUUUAUAUUUUAUUCUAUCACCUUGGACUUUUUAGAAUGUUCUUAGAUAAUAGAUCUCACUUAAAUAACCACUUUAAACUCCUUCUAGAAGGUUCUAUAGUGGGUCCUAUCUAGAUAACUAUCCUAAGUUUUUUCUAGAAGAUUCUAUAGUAGAUCCUAUUCGGUCUACUAACCUAAUUCCAAUUUUAGAAACUUCUAUGAUUCUAACUAUCUAUUCUUAUGUAAAAAUAUCUUAUCUAUACCUUGUUACAGUUAAUUCUCCUCUACUAAUGCAAAACAUCCUCAUUUUGCUUCCGAUGGUAUCUCCAAAUUGUCUCUUAAUAAUAGAUGAAGUUUUGUGCAGGUUCUCACAUUGCAUCAUAGAUGGGAUAAUCUUUCCAAAGAAAUUUAUAUUGAUGUUGUAAAUGUCCACUACCACGAUAAAGUCUAAGGUAGAUUUUUUAGGUACAAAGAGUAUAGGUGCUUCUCAUGGUGAUGUGCUUUCUCAAAUGAGGCCAUUUUUCAAGAUUUUCUCUAAUGUCUUCUAUAGCUCUUCAAGUUUUUUUGGUGUUAGGUGAUAAAUUGGUCAAUUUACUAGUUUGGCUUUAGGCAAUAGUUCUAUUUGAAAGGGGGUACCUCGAUUAGGAGGUGUGCUGUUAGGUAGGUCGAUGUCAAGGACAAAGACUCGAUGAGGAAAAAUAUACACCAAAGGCUAUCUCGAUAUAAUAAGUCAAAAUAUAAACAAGUAGGUAUAUUAAAAGGAAACUGGAAUGGCUAUUGCCACAAGACAAGAAACUAAAGACUCUUGAACCUGGACUAGAAGCAAAAAAGGAGUUGACAAGAGUGAAGAAGCCUUCACUCUUGUCUCUAUAUAUACUAUCUAACUAGGGGCUAUGUGGCGACGUUCUAUAGGACCUCCAAUAUGUGUUGACUUUGUAGGACACAUGCCUUGACUUACAAGGCAAGUUUUUCUACGUGUGGGCCACAUAGUUAGCUUGAUCUUCAAGCUAACAACAUGUGUGGCACAUGGCCAACUUGUUGACCACGUUUCUAAUCCAAAAAGUCAAUUAAAGACACCUAUGAAGUCAAAGCAGCGUCUAGGAAGUUUCUAGGAAGCUUCUAUAUUAAAUAUUAUACAAUUAACUUACUUUUAUCUACUUUUACUUACUUCUACCUAUUUCUAUAUGUAAUUAUUAGCUUACAUGAUUAUGGCCGUGACAUUACCCCCCCUUCUAGAGACGAGUUCCACGAGGAGCGGUCAUCAUAUGUUGAGGAAAUCUAUGAUGCGACGAAUUGUAUUCGCCACAUACUCUGAUCUCUGUUCUCUUCGAAGAUGAUUGAUAGGGCCUCUCAACCAUCGGUAGUGUCCCAUACCAGGGCGGGAAGACCACCCAGUUAUUUGAUCAUUAUUGAGGCCUUCAUAACUUCCUUCGAAUAGAAUAUUCGGAACACCAUCAGGAGUUGUUCCUACCUCUAGCAAAAUCACCAAACAUCGCGAGUCCCUUUCCAAAUCAUGAUACCAAACGUGUUGUAUCUCACCAUCUGUUCGAGGAAGAACAUGUCGUUCUUGAAGAUCUUCAUCUCGAUUGCAUCGUCUUGAAGGUUGUGACAAUCGUAAUGUCUCGUCCGGCAGGUCAGCAAACGAAGGUUUUUGAGUUGAAUCUGCUGGUUAUUGGCUCUCCAUCUAAUUAGCGUCACAAAUGCAAAGAAGUUACAAACAAGGAUAGGAAAUUGAAUGUUAUCUUGCCUCAAUCUUGUCUCUUUUAUAAGAGAGAUUUUCAUCUUGGUUUUGAUGGAUGUCGUUGAUGAAAAACUUUGACUUUAGUUGAUGCAUUUGCUAGAUUCCUGGAUGGCUCCCAUGUGCGUUCACUAAUAUCAUAUCCGCGCCAAUGAACAAGAUAUUCCAGCUUAUUUCGGCGCCGCCUUGAGUCUAAUAUCUCUUCCACCUCAAAUUCUUCAUUAUUAUCUAUUUCUAUAGGCCCCGGUGGCAUUUGUCUUCUUCCUUGUAUAUCCACUGUCUUAUAUGGUUCAAGAAGAGAUACGUGGAAUACAGGAUGGAUCUUCAUUGACUCUGGUAGAUGUAACCGAUAUGCAACUGGGUUGAUCUGUUCAGAAACAGAAAAGGGGCCAAGCCUAUGAUAGUCCAACUUGUCACAAGGUCGAGUAGUCUUGAUAUUGCGACGAAGUAGCCAUACCUUAUCACCCACGUUGAUCUGUGGUUGCUCCUUACGAUAUAGAUCUGCGUUUAUCUUUUGUCGUUCUUGAGCUUCCUUCAAUUGUGUCUUCAUUAUUGCAUGUAACUCUGACAACCGAUUUGCCAUAUCUUCUGCUGCAGGAUUAUCAACUUUUGGAAAAUCAAAAGUAUCAAGUCGUGGAUGAUAGCCAUAAUUGGCAAAGAAAGGUGUUUGUUGCGUGGAAGAAUGUACCGUAUUAUUAUAAGCAAACUCUGCCAAUGGCAGAAGGGUUGUCCAAUCAUCUUGUUGGUAGUUGAUAGUACACCUUAAAUAUUGCUCCAAGACUUGGUUUACGCGCUCUGUUUGUCCAUCAGUUUGAGGAUGAAAAGCCGAAGAUAGUUUUAUGUCCACUUUUAAAAUCUUGAAAAGGGUCCUCUAAAAUCUUGACACAAAUUGAGUUCCCCUAUCCGAUAUGAUAUCUUUAGGUAAUCCAUGAUAGCGAUAGAUAUUAUCAAUGAAAAGCUUAGCUGUUUCUUCACCUGUGAUAGAUUUUGUACAUAGCACAAAAUGUGCCAUCUUGGUGAAACGAUCUACUAUCACAAAUAUAGAAUCAUAAGAUCUUGAGCUUGGAAGAUCUGUGAUGAAAUCCAUAGAAACAGAAGACCAUGGUUGUUCUGGUAUAGGUAAUGGCUGAAGAAGUCCGUAAGGUCGAUGACGAGGAAUUUUUGAUCUUGAACAAAUAUCACAUGAUUGUACAAAGUCUUUGACUGACUUCCACAUUUGUGGCCACCAAAAAUCUCUUGAUAUGAGUUCCAAAGUCUUAUUAUAUCCAAAGUGCCCUGCUGCUGGAAAGUCAUGACGUGCUUGAAGAACACGUAAACGUGCUUCUCUUUCUGGAACAUAUAGGCGUCCUUCAAAAUAUAAUAGAUUAUUCUUGAACUCAAACUUAGAAGGAUCAUGAGACUUGGAAGAAUUAUUCUCGAUAUCAUAAACAAGAGGGUCUGAGGACAUACUGGACUGGAUUUGCUUGAGAAAAGUUGAAUCAACAGUCAAUGUUGAUUUCAUUGCUCGGAGAUGAAAUUGCUCCGGUUUCAAGAGGACCGUUCUUUGUUGCUCAAAAGUUGCAUCUCCUUCUUUUGGUGCAAAAUAAGAACGUCUAGAUAGGGCAUCGGAUAAACCUUGUUGUUUUCCUGGCCGAUAAGUGAUAAUGAACUCGAAUCUUGACAAAGACAUACUCCAACGAGCUUGACGACGAUUCAACACGCGUGCUGACAUGAAAUACUCGAGGUUCUUGUGAUCUGUAUACACAGUGACUGGAUUAGAAGCGCCUUCUAGAUAAUGACGCCAUUCUUGAAAGGAAUCCACGAUCGCAAGAAGUUCUUUAUCGUGGAUCUCAUAAUUGAUCUCGGCUGCUGAGAAUUUUCUUGAAUGAAAAGCUAUCGGAUGGAGUUUGUCAUCUGUUCCCAUUUGUGAUAAAACUGCACCCAAGGCAAAAUCUGAUGCAUCUGUUUCCAUAAAAAAUGCCUUGGAAAAGUCAACACGAUAUAAGACUGGUGCAGAGACAAACGAUGUCUUCAAGGCUUCAAAUGCUGCUUCCGCUUCUUGAUUCCAUUGAAAUUUAUCUUUACUAGUCAAGCGUGUAAGUGGAGCUGCAACUCGUGAGAAAUCUUUGAUGAAGAUCCGAUAGUAAUUCGCAAAUCCCAAGAAACAUUGAACAUCUCUUACUGUCCUUGGAAUCUUCCAAUCCACGAUUGUUUGGACUUUCUUAGAAUCCAUCAUGAGACCAUCAUUUGAAAUGAUGUAUCCUAAAAAGUCAACUUGAGUAGUGUGAAAUACACACUUUUCCAUCUUGGCGUACAAUCCUGCAUCUCUAAGUUUUUGUAAUACUUGACGAACAUGUAUUUCAUGUUCUUCGACGUUCUUAGAAUAGAUCAGGAUAUCGUCUAGAUAGCAGACGACAAAAUUGUCUAAGAAUUCACGAAAUACAUCAUUCAUGAGAUGUUGAAAAGCAGCUGGUGCAUUCGUGAGUCCAAAGGGCAUGACAUUAUAUUCGAAAUGUCCAUACCUGGUUCGAAACGCAGUCUUCCAUUCAUCUCCUUCUUUGAUCCGUACUAGAUUAUAUGCUCCUCUUAGAUCUAUUUUUGUAUAGAUUUUAGCUUAAUUCAACUGGUCAAGGAGUCCUGAUAUCAAAGGUAAUGGAUACCUGUUCUUGAUUGUGAUCUUGUUGAGUCCUCGAUAAUCAACACACAUUCGUAAAGAUCCAUCUUUUUUCUUUACGAAUAGAAUUGGAGCUCCUGCUGGAGAUUUUGAAUGGCGUAUGAAAUUCUUCGCUAAAUUCUCGUCAAUAUAUGUCUUGAGUUCAGCCAUCUCAUCUUGCGAUAAACUGUAAAUUGGUCCAAAUGGUGGUUGAGUUCCUUCCUUGAGGUCGAUUGAACAAUCAUAUGGACGAUGCUCAAGAAGAAUAUCUGCAUUCUUUUUCUCAAAAACGUCUUGAUACUCCUGAUAUUGACUUGGAAUGCCACUUGAAGUCUUUACGUUUUCAGAAAUAGGUGCAGCAUAAAUAGCAAAAGUUGAUCCUUCUUUUGCUGCGUGUAUAAAUGCUUUUGCACCUAUCAGUACGGGUUUUACUGUACUAGACUUAUAAUUUUUUACUUGGUUCGUAGAACUAUUAAUAACGCUUUUGGAAAAGUCAAGUUUACGCGAAUUCCAAUCUAUUCGAGGGUUAUAUUUUUCUAGCCAGGAUAAACCUAAAAUAAUUGGAUUGGACGGGGAUUUAAUUAUGUUAAAAGCUAUGUAGCUAUCAUGACCGUCUAUUGUUACUUUUAUAGGAUGAGUUUCAUGAGUGACAUCUCCAGAAGACAAGGGACGACCAUCUAUGACUUCUACAUGUACUGGUUUAGGUUUCUGUACAAAGGGUAUUUUACGACUUUUAACAAAUUGUUCAUCUAAAAAACAUGCUGAGGCUCCCGAAUCUAAUAAAGCAGAGGCUUUGUAAUUCUUAGGUCCUAAAUAUAAGUCUAUUAUAAAACAAGGAGAGGGUUUUGAGGAGAGGAUAGGACCUUCAUUAGGAAUUGUACAAGGUUCCAGCUGCACGGUCCCUAUUGUAGCUGGACGAAUCCGUUUUCCGACAUGUUGUCUUCUUUGACCGUCGUACCCCUCAUUUUAUAGUUGCGUCAUUUCUUUGGACAAUGUUGAGCAGUGUGCUUAGGUUCUCCACAAUAUAAACAUAAUCCUUCUUGAUGACGACGAAUCUUUUCUUGCUCAGUUAGAGGUUUAAAACGUUCUGCGUCAAUUUGCAUGUUUUCUACUUCCGAAUGUACGUUUGGCAAAGAUGUUGAUGUUGCCAUUGAGUAAUAACGUUGAGGUUCCCGUGAAUGAUUCUCAGAUCGAAAUUCAAAAAGUCGAUUAUCACAUUUUACCGCAAAAUCGAUUGCUUGACUCAAAGUUUGAGGAUCAGGUAAGUUGAGCAUCAAUUUCUUUACUUCGUAUUGCAAUCCAUAAAGAAAUUGACUGAUGAGUGCAGCAUCAUCCCACUUGAUGUCAAUUGCAAGUUGUCAAAAUUGUGAAGCAUAUACUGUUACUGAGCGAUUUCCUUGUCGCAGAAUUCGGAUCUUAUUUGUUGCAACACGAGUUGCAUCGUGUUCACCAUACAUAGAUCGAAACUCCGCCAAAAAAGCUUCCAAAUUGUCCAAUAUUGGAUUUCGUUGUUCAAGAAAAGACGAAAACCACGAUAAUGCAGAACCAAAAAGUAGAGUGCCAAUAAACCUGACUUGUGAUCCUGGAGUUGGAUAGCUUUGCGGUUGAAGUUCAAUUGCCAAUUGUACUUGAUUGAUGAACCCUCGAAACUUUGAUCUCGUACCAUCAAAUUUCUCAGGUAAGGCAAUUCUUGGUUCUCUAGUGCUUAUAGGGUGUACAAUUGGAGAAGGAACGUGAUUUGUUGUAGAUGUUGAAGCAGCUCCGAUCAUCUCUAUAUCUCCACUUUCUGCUAUUCUUAUUCUUUCCUGUGUUGGUGAAUUGAGUUGAUGCAUCGCAAGCAUUAACUCCCUCAUUUGCUCUUGCAUUUGUGCCAUUGCACUCUUCAUUUCAACAAGCUCUGCCAUAAUGACACUAAGAAGAAAAAUUUGUUUGAUAUUGCUCAAGACAAAAGAAAAGAAAGACUUGAUAACAAAGAAGAUACUAAGAACAAUAUCAGUUUAGAAGUGGGUAAUCCGCAAACUUCUAAUACGCUUAUGUCUUGUCAAGAGAAAGGGGUAAUCCACUCUUACUCAAGAAAAAACAAAGCUCUGAUAUUGUAAGUGUACUCUUGUCAAUCUGUCAAGGACAAAGACUCGAUGAGGAAAAAUAUACACCAAAAGGCUAUCUCGAUAUAAUAAGUCAAAAUAUAAACAAGUAGGUAUAUUAAAAGGAAACUGGAAUGGCUAUUGCCACAAGACAAGAAACUAAAGACUCUUGAACCUGGACUAGAAGCAAGAAAGGAGUUGACAAGAGUGAAGAAGCCUUCACUCUUGUCUCUAUAUAUACUAUCUAACUAGGGGCUACGUGGCGACGUUCUAUAGGACCUCCAAUAUGUGUUGACUUUGUAGGACACAUGCCUUGACUUAUAAGGCAAGUUUUUCUACGUGUGGGCCACAUAGUUAGCUUGAUCUUCAAGCUAACAACAUGUGUGGCACAUGGCCAACUUGUUGACCACGUUUCUAAUCCAAAAAGUCAAUUAAAGACACCUAUGAAGUCAAAGCAGCAUCUAGGAAGUUUCUAGGAAGCUUCUAUAUUAAAUAUUAUACAAUUAACUUACUUUUAUCUAUUUUUACUUACUUCUACCUAUUUCUAUAUGUAAUUAUUAGCUUACAUGAUUAUGGCCGUGACAGUCGAUUAGAAAGACAUUCUAAAUUUUUUGUAUGAAUUGAACUACCAUUUCUAUUCCUUUAGCUACCUUUAUUAUCAUUGAUGCAAGAUUUAGAACUACCAUAUAUAUAUAUAUAUAUAUAUCAAUUUUUUAUGUAGUAUUUGUUUUUGCUUAAAGGUUGUCUCUAUGAGUAAGUCUUUGAUUGCAAAUUUUCUUUCAUCUUCACUUGAUGCAGAGGUGCAAAGAGUCACCUUGUAUCCAACAUCUUUAAACGAUAUUAUCAUAACUAUGCAAUCAACUUGUCUAUUUUCCAUUUCUAGCUAUGGCAUAUCAAAGAUAACAUCAUAUCUUAGGUUUUUCACCUUGAACUUCUUUCUUAAAAUAUAGGUGUCAGUCAACCUCAAGAUUUCUUCUUCACAUGUCUCAUUCUAUACGUUUUCUUGGUUAUCUACAAAAUAUAUACUUCUUCCUUUGAUUAUCUUAGUUUUGAUUCGAAGUUGGUUACCAAUAUUAGUUGAGAUGUAAUUUUUCAUAGAGCCAUAAUCUAUAAGCACUUCACAUGAUUGUCUUCUUAGUAGUCUCAUUAGAUGUACCAGUUAAUUCUUUUUAUAAUUAUCUAAAACUAUGCCAUUUGUCUUUGAGAGACAAUAGCUAUCUCUAAUAUUGGCCCUUGGUGCCUUUACUGAGGAGCCAUGUUUUUUUUACUUUGUCUUAUUAUUAACUUGGUGAGUUUUGAAAUUGUGAAUCUACCUUGUUUUGUUAGUGCUUGAAUUUUGAUAUUUUAGACAACCUCCAAUUUGAUGGUCUAACUCCCGAAAAUAGAAACAAAAUCCCUUUUGUACCAAUAUUUGUUGUCUUUAUGGUAUCAAUAAUCCUUGUAGGAUAUCAAUCUCCAUUAAUGUUGGUUUUUAUGCCAUAAUAUUAGAUAGUGGAAUAUGACUUCAUGCUAUAAGUUGUGCUCUAUAAUUUUUAAAAUCUAUAGCAUUGAUCCUUUCUACAAUCUGAAUUACCUCUUCAAAUGUUUAUAAAUCCUUUAAUUCCACCUCUCUCUGGACGAUAAGUUUCAAACCUUAUAAGAAUUGAUCCAUCUUGGCCUUUGAAACAUUGCCAAUUUGGAGACAUAUGAACUUGAAUUGAUAGACAUAAUCAUGUACUAAUUUAGAUUGUAUAAGAUUUAUCAAUUGAUCACUUAUUAUCUUCUCCACAUUGAUCAACCACAAUUGAUUCCUAAUCUUGGUUUCAAAUUCCUUCCAAUGACAAAAUCCACCUUAAGCUCUAUAACUUUGAACUCGAUGUCACCACCAAAUGACUACUGCAUCUCUUAAAUAGCUAACUGAAGUCAUAAUUCCUUCAUUAAUAUUUGUUCCAAAUAGUUGGAGGUAUUAUUGAAUAUUAAAGAGCCAUUGAUAUACAUCUUCUUAUCUUGAAGUCCCUAAGUAUGUACUAUGCUUAUUCAAUUUUAGCCUAAUGUGUAUUGAGUCCUUUGUCCUCAAGGCUUUUAUUUGACUUUGUAAAGUAGCUAUCUGGCCUAAAAGGUGUUAUAUUUGAACAUCCAUCUGGGAUUGUUCUACUAUAUCUUUCAUGCUAUAAUUUCUCCAUUGAAUUCUACUAUUAUAAUUUAUUUUCACCUCCUAAUUGACUUUUUAAAAGUAGCUUGUGGUAGCUUCAACACAGUAUCAAGUAUGACUACAACAACUAACCUUGGACUAGAUGAUGACUAUUAAUACAUUACCAAAAAAACAAUCUAAUACUUGCUCUGAUACCAAUGAAAUAGGACAAGUCUAUUUCAAGUGUUUAAGAUCCUUGUAAUCCAAAUCAACAUAAAAUCUCAUCACAAGAUAGGACAAACUAGAUCAGAACAAAAUUGAAUAAAAUUGAAUAGAAUGGGACACAAAGAACAAAAUUGAGCAACCAAAACUAGAACAAAAUAAAACAAAAUAAGAAGAUACAAAAUCCAAUUGUAUUAAGACAAAAGAUCUGAAGCCAUACCUAACUAAAUAUCCCUAAAGGCCUCAGCUAGUUCUAUUUAUAUUUUAUUCUAUCACCUUGGACUUUCUAGAAUGUUCUUAGAUAAUAGAUCUCACUUAAAUAACCGCUUUAAACUCCUUCUAGAAGGUUCUGUAGUAGGUCCUAUCUAGAUGACUAUCCUAAGUCUUUUCUAGAAGGUUUUUUAGUAGAUUCUACUUAGUUUACUAACCUAAUUCUAAUUUUAAAAACUUCCAUGGUUCUAACUAUCUAUUCCUAUGUACAAAUAUCUUAUCUAUACCUUUUUAUAGAAGUUGUGUUUCAUAAACAUCCAAGAAUCAUAAUAGGUUUCAUCCAUAUAAAAAGAAUGCAAUUCAAAUUUUAAUUCAAAAGUACUUAAAGUCAAUACAAAGUAUUCAAAAAUACUCUUUUUAAUAACAUUAAUCAUAUACAAAUUCCAAAUGCCUUAUUACUUUCAUAAUUAAGCAAUUUCGAUUUUUCUUUGCAAGCCCAAAUCUUAAUCAAUGAGCUUUAAUAAGCUAUAACUCCUAAUUUGAUCAUUUACUUGAUGCAAAAUUUUACACAUAAAUGCAAUUACAAAUCUCCUAUAUGUUUAAAAAAUCUUAGUCUAAUUCAACUUAUAAAUUAUGAUAAAACAUCCAAAAAAAACUACAUUGAUGUCACUCAACUGCUCACAUGAAAGUUAAUACACAUGUUUCAAUAGUAAUUUUUCUUUCUUCAAAUAUUAAUUUUAAUUCAAAAUUAGUGUAUAGCUUCAUCUUCAAGUCUUCUAAUACCAUGCCAAAUUUCAUUUUGUUUCAACUAGUAGAACUUUAAAUAUCAUAGAAAUCCUACCUGAUUGUAAAUUAUUAACUUCUAAUAUCUUCAUGUAUCAAAAACCAGAUAUCUCUCAACUCCAUUAUUAGAUUAAUAAUAAUAUUUAUAUAUACUUAGUGCAUCUAAUCAACCAAGUACUAUCAAAUUUUGAACUAUAGAUGUAAUACCAGUUGCAUAAAAUAACUGAGAAUAUUAGCUCAAAUUAUAUUGCAUAAAUUCAAAGUCACCAAUACAAAUCUUGAUUUUGAAUAAUAAUUGCAAAGAUAGUCUAAAUCUAAUGAAAAUAAGCCUUAUUUCUUUAAAACAAGCUUAAAGCUUACUUUUCAAUCUCAAUUGCCAAUCUCCAAAUUCUUCCAUAUUUUAUCUUAUGCCGCUAUUUUAGUGGCUAGAGGUUUGAUUUUGAUUGUAUUCCACAAAUGGUUGAUCUUGGAUAUCAAUUUAACCUAUUCUAGGGAUUUUUUAGCCCAAUCCUAUUGUCAAUUUAAUCCUAGUAUCAAUCAUAUUAAUUAUUUAUCUUUUUUAUUCUAUUUUUAUCAAUUUGUAAUUUUUGAAGGUAAUAAAAAAAAUUCUAUAGCCUAAAAAAUGAAAUUACUAAUCAAUCUUUAAUCUACUAAUUAUUAAGACAAGAAAAUGAAUUAAGAUGAUUUUAUAAAAACCAUGUUUAAAUACCUUGAAUUAUUAUUAAAUUAAGAUGAUUAAAUAUUAAUUAGAAAUUUAUUUUUGAUUAUAUUUUCACUAUGUAGUUGUAUUAUAACACAAAAUUUACCUCCUCUAAAUUUGUGCAUUCUCCAAUAUGCACCAAAUGAACCAUAUGUCAUAAUUGGUAUCAUAUCAUCUCUUCAUUUUAUCUUCUUUUGUACUUCUAUAAUCUUUCUUUAUUAUAGUACUCCCAAGAAAUCCUUGAAUUCUUCAACAAUUCAUGGCAAUGAAUUAUCUCUCAAUUUGUCUCAAUUUUGCUCAUAAUUUGGAGGCACAAUAAAAAAUUAUACUCCCAUCUCUAAUUCUCACUAAAAAUUUAUACUUAAACUAAACCAUCAUCAAGUAUAUUUGUUUUCAUCCAAGUUGUAAUAAUAUAUGAUUUCUUCAAAAUGAAAGGAUAAGAUGUUGUAUAUUGAACAAAAAAAAAAUCUCUAUUACAAUGUCACUAAUUCAAAUUUUUAUAGUUGGACAAGCACUAUAUAACUUAUCUUAUAUAUUAUUAGUUGUCUAUAUUAUCCAUCUAUGCUUUAUAUCAAUUAGCCACCUUUGUUUCAUAUAAAGAUCCUUAGAUAUAAGAUUUAUUUCUAAAUUAAGAUCAAUCAAAGAAACAACCAACUCAUUCAUAUCUCCAACCUUCAUCAAUGCCUCCAUUGUUACUCUAGCUCAAUGCUUUUGAAUAUAAUGGCUUAAAACCUCUUUAUUCUUGUUACUUUAAUCAUUAUAAUGUAUUCUUUAAUUAUGAUUCCUUGCCUCACUUGUUGAUUGUUUGCAACAAUUAUCAAAUUCAUCUUCUUCAUUCUUACAUACACAUGCAUUAAUAGCAUAAUUAAAAUCAAAAUCAUCUUUUAAUUGUCUCUUUUGCUUAAUACUAUCAAUAAUAAUAUUAUAAAAAAAUUUCUUGAUAAUUUUUAAAAUAUCCUUCAAUGUGAAUUUAACUUAGCAUUGAGCAUAUAUUCUUCAAGCACUCCCUUUAAAUUUGUUGUUGCCUUAAUAUUACUCAGUAGUUUAUAAGUUAUUGAAUUAUUUUUGUCUCUUAUAUCUUUUAUUUUUCUCUUUAAUAAUAUUGAAUCAUCUUCCAUUGGUACUUUUUAUAAAACCAUUUCACAAGCCUUAUCUCUUUGAAUUUGUUUCUUAAAAGUACUUCCUAUUUUUGUAUCUUUAAAAAUAUUUGUCUCUUUUCUUCUAUCAAGGCUUCAUGAUGACUCUUAACAACAUAUGCAUGAACUAAAAGAACCUUGAUAAGAUCUUCUUAACUUAUUGCACCAUAUAUAAUAGCUAUAGUUCUCAAUAAUGCCUCCUGAGGUUUUUUUUUUUUUUUUUUUUUGCAUCAUAAAAACGGCAAAAGUCAAAAAUCCGCUUAUUUCUAUAUUUUCAUCAAAGUCAACAUCUAUCUUAGUAUAAUAACUUGUUAUUUUUUGUAUUGUUACUUCAUAAACUAUUAAAGAAUCUUGAAUCCAUACUUUCAAACAUUCCUUACAAAAAUUGGUUUGAAGGAGGUUUCUUGUAUCUUUUAAUGUCAUCUUUCCAUUGUUUCAAAAAAUAACUCCUUGUUGCACCAUAUCAUUAAAUUUAUUAUAAUUCUUCCUAGUAUGAAAAGCAUUGUCACACCAAAUGUAUCUUUAUAUAUAUCUUUAUUUAAAAAUAGACUUCAAAUUAUUUAUAAAAGUCUUCUCUUCCAAUUUUAUCAAUUUGAUUUAAAGAUCCUACAUCCCACAUAUAAUUUUUUCAUCUCUCAUAUCUUUUUUCUUUAAUAUAGUCACUUAAGAUUGAAUAAUUGGUAUUAUCAAUUAUAUUUUACAUACUUGAGUUUUAAAUGUAUGUAUUACUUUUGAAAUAUUAAUCUUAUCUUUUUUCUUUUCUUAUUUUGUAAGCAAAACCACAACAUCUUCAAUAUUUUUCUACUUUAUUGUCAAUCUUUCAUCUUCUUUUUUGUCUUUAAGAAGCAACUUCAAUUUUUCUUUUAAUUUUCCAUGGAUAGCUUGAUGAAAUAAUUCAACCUUAUUUGGCUCUAUUAUUAACUUUUUUAUCUUUAAUAAUCGAAAAUAUUACCUCUCAAAUUCCUUCAAAAGCUUCAAAGCUUGUAAGUUCUUAUUAGGCUACUCUGUUCAUUCUAAAAAUGAUUUCUUAAUAACCUAAUCAAUAUCUUCUAAAAAAAUAUUUGUCCUUUAAUCCAUGUGAAAAUAUCUCCCAUGAAUCUCCAAAUUGGUUCAUAAUUGAUUUAACAUGUUUUCAUAUCUCUAAUAUUAUAGUAUGUCAAAAUAGCUCAAUCAUCUUUGUUUCAAAAAUCCAAUUAAAUUCUAUUUUUUUUAUAUAAUAUUUCAAAUAUUUAAAAAUAUCUCUUCUAUCAAAUUAGUCAAUUUUGUUAAUCAUUGCUUGUAAUACUUUGGUUAUCAAAGCCUCUUUGCAAUUAUUGCCAUGUUGUUGUUACAUAAAUAAUAUAAAUUCUUGAAACAUAUUUGUAAUAUUUGGAUCAAAAUAUAUAUAUAUAUAUAUAUAUAUAUAUAUAUCUUAUUUAUAAGUAAAAAAUCCACUUAAAGCUCUAUUUAAAGAUCCACUUGAAACUCCAUCCAAAACUCUAUCAAAAAUUCUAAAUUAAACCUUCUUGCUUUCUUAUACCAUCAAUUUCAAAUAACCACAAAUAUAAUCUAAUAUCUUCUACUUCAAACUUUCACAUUGGAUUUAUAAUUUAGGUUGUAUUACAUAUUUUCUUAUUUGAAAAAGCACGAGACACCUAGUUCUAAAAAUUGAAGUUGUAUUUCACAAGCAUCUAAGAACCUUAAUAAGUUUUAUCCAUAUAAAAACAAUGCAAUUCAAAUUUCAAUUCAAAAGUCCUUAAAGCCAAUACAAAGUACUUAAAAACACUCUUUUUAGUCAUUUCAACCACAUAUAAAUUUUAAUUGCUUUAUUACUUUCAUAAUUAAGUAAUUUUGAUUUCUCUUUGUAAUCCUAAUCCUAGUCAAUGAGCUUCAAUAAGCUAUAACUCCUAAUUUAAUUAUCUACUUAAUACAAAACUUAGCAUACAAAUGCCACUACAAGUUUUCUAUAUACUCAAAAAAAUUUAGUCCAAACCAACUUAUAAAUUGUAAUAAAAAAUCCAAAAAAAUUACAUUGAUGUUACUCAAUUACUAACUUAAAAGUUAAUAUACAUGUUCUAGUAGUAAUUUCUUUUUUUCUAAUCAUUAAUUUCAAUUGAAGAUUAGUAUAUAGCUUGAUCUUCAAGUCUUCUAAUACCAUGCCAAAUUUUAUUUUGUUCCAAUUAGUAGAUCAUUAAAUAUCAUAGAAAUCUUAUCCGACCUCAAACUACCAACUUCCAAUAUCUUCUUGUACCAAAAACCAAAUAUCUCUCAAAUCUAUUUUUAGAUUAAUAAUAAUAUUUAUAUAUACUUAAUAUACCUAAUCAACUAAGUACUAUCAAAUUUUGAACCAUAUAUGUAAUACCAAUUGCAUAAAAUAGCGAGAGUGCUAGCUCGAAUUAUAUUGUAUAAAUUCAAAGUCACCAAUACAAAUUUUGAUUUUGAAUAAUAAUUACAAAGAUAUUCUAAAUCUUAUGAAAUUAAGCCUUAUGCCUUUAAAACAAGCUUAAAGCUUAUUUUUUAAUCUCAAUUGUGAAUCUCCAAAUUCUUCUAUAUUUUGCCCUAUAUGGCCAUUGUAAUAGCUAGAGGUCUAAUUUUGAUUGGGUUCCACAAAUGGUUGGCCCUUGAGUAUCAAUCCAACCUAUCCUAGGAUUUUUUUGGCAUAAUCCUAUCCUCAACUUAAUCUUAGUAUAAAUCAUAUUAAUUAGUUAUCUUUUUUAUCCUAUUUUUAUCAAUUUGUGAUUUUUUCAAAGUAAUAAAAGAAUUUUUAUAGUCUAAAAGAUAAAAUUACUAACCAAACUUUAAUCUAUUAGUUAUUAAGACAAGAAAAUACACUAAGAAACUUUUAUAAAAGCCAUGUUCAAAUGCUUUGAAUUAUUACUAGACUAAGAUAAAUACAUAUUAAUUAAAAAAUUAUUUUUUAUUAUAUUUUUACCACAUAGUUGUGUUAUAAGACAACAAUAUUUAAGAGAUUUUUUUUCUUCUACUAUAUAGUAUGGUGCUCCUUUCAUUUAUUUUAGUAUUAUUUGACUAAUUUCUAUAAUUAAUAUUUACAAAUAUUUUUAAGAAGUUGAAAUAUUCUAAAGAAGAGGAAUCUCAAGUUAUUCAAUACAACAAGAAGAAAAUGAUGAAGAAAGAAGCAUUGAAUCAACUCAUAACAAAUCUUGUUCUAACACCAUGAUGUAGUGAGAGAGUUUAGAGGGUAAUGCUAAAAAGAAGGACACAAUGCACAUAGACAAGGUAUUUAUGAAAAUCAUUACACUGACACUACUUGUUUUACUCAUUGCUAUUGUACUCUUUAUAAUAUUUUAUAAUUAUAGUUAUAUUAGUUUAAUCACCAGAUUAGAUUUAGGUCUUUUACUUCAAACCCUAAAGAGACAAAGUCUAUAGCUAUUCAUCCAACACCAUACUCAUACUCUUUGGUGAGUAGAUUUUUUCUCAACAAUUCCCAGACUUGAAAGCUUACUCGACUUAAAUAAAAACCUCCACGAGUAUCACUUGUCUUCAUUUCAAGCCGAUGUAUUGCUGUAUUUUCUUCUUGACUUUGAAGACUUUGAUGUGAACCAUUGACGGGCCCUGUAACGCUCUUGCACCUCACUCUGAACGAACGGAUAUCAUAACAUCAUAACAUUGCUUCAACAAAGUUUUCUCUGGAACUGAUACCGGCAAGCUCUUGUCUAUUGACAUCUUUUACAACCGAAUUUCUCCAAUAUAUGUACGGUAAAUGAUGAAUAAUGCCUAUUUAAAGUGACGAGUCUAAUUGUCUUUGAAGUUUUAGCCGUUGGCAGAGGUGAGCUCCGUGGAAACAGUGAGGUCCCACGCUUGGACUUUGGAGAAUACGGUGUCAAAGAUGACAGGCGAGGUAUGGCACCCGGUUUCCAUAAUUGUGAUACCAAGGCACCAGAUGCAGAGGCAUUAGGAACCUGCUUGGCCACUCGAUGGUUGUUGGAUUGAUGUUGUCGCAUUGCUAGAUGCAAAUAAGUUACUCGUCAUACUUUGAUCUGCAUGAGUUCCGCUUAUGCAAUUGUCUAAUGCACAUGUCUUACAGAAUGCCUGAUAUCGAUGGAGGUUCUGCUUACUCAUCAUCCAUCUGAUUGUUCUAAUCGAACUGGCAUAAGUGGUUUUGGAAGUACGUUUCAACAAUUCAGCAAUCGGAAAAGAUAUUCUGAUGAUGAGGAAUGAGGUGUGACUAAUUCGUUCACACCUCAAUUGAGCUUAACAGUGCCGUGCUACACGAAGACUUCUCGGUAAUGAUUGAAAGUUUAUUUUUGAAUCAUAAGAAUUUCUGGUCGGACUAAGGUUUUCUCAUCUGAACUUCAUCACUCUGCGGAUCUGAAAUCUGUCAACAGUUUUACUGCACCAGGCGGAUCUUCAAUGUAAUCAUGUUGAAGAAUGUUAUAGCAAAGUACAUUCCUAACCCACCCCAUGAAUUUAUGAAGAUGUCAUUCUGGUUCAGUACUUGCAACAUUUUAUUUUCUUGCAUUUUUAGCAGUUCGCUGGGAUUCUCCUGAACACUUAGUUUUGUAUCAAUUCAGGACUCUGAAAUCUGGUUCACCUGGAUAGAAGUACUUGAUUGGUCAAUGUGGGUAGAUCAUUGCAGAUAUAUUCAUGGUAAUAUGUACUACCCUAAUAAGCUUUUACACUCGAGUUAUGUUUUGUGAUGGAGGUGAUCAUAGAAGGCACUGGGACUGAUUUUGAUUGAUAAUUUGUAAAUGCUGUAGUGAGAUGAGUUGGGGAUGAUGAACGAAGCUCCGAAAAAAUUCAACCGCAAGUACAGAGAUGGAUAAUAUCUCUCAGGUAGAAUGAUCAACUCCGCAGCUCUCCUCAAGAGACAAGAACCUAACCAAGGACGGUUGUUCAAGGACUCAUUCUUCACUCAGAGCUAAGACUGGACUUCAAAAUCAGAUGUCAGAAUGAGCAACAGCAUGGAUGAGGACCCACCUCAUUCGAAGCAACGAUCCUCUUUAGAAUUUACAGAGCCUGCUGCCCAUUUGACUCAAGCUAGGUCCCACCACUAUCCAUGUGAUUGUAAGCAGUCACAAAACUUACUGUUUAUGUGGUACUGUACCAGUCAUUUUAUGUUACCUGGAAGAUGAAGUGAACGAUGUGUCUGGAAAAAUACGGUUUUGUCUUGGCAUACAUAGAGGAUUAUUAUUUUUGCUUCUCCCUCAUCUUCACUGCAACCAAUACACUACACUUUGGGACUCGUGACUUUAGAAACCAUGCAGUAAAAGCUUGUUACUUAGUUCGGAAGUUUCCAUCUUUUACAGCAUGAAUGAAAAGAUGACCAUUGUAUCUAAGAGUGGAUACCAUGCUUUAUGAGCUAAACAAGGAUCUCGGGGAAUAAAUAUAAGUGCUAGAUACAAAAAAAUUGAUGAAAAUUAAAAAUUAAAAAAAAUGUUGCGUUUUCAUGCAAAAUGGUAAUUUAAUCUGCGAGUUCACAGCUCCUAGCUUGCGAAACAAGGUGCUCUAAUUUCACAAGGACAUUGUUGAGAUCAUUAAAUGUAGCCGGCGCUCUCCAUAAUAUUUAUUAUAGACUACAAUAAAUACCAUAGCCACAGUAUUUAGAGUCUAGUGGAGAAGUAUUGUUUAUCCUCUCCUCUUUUCUCUUCUUGUAUACGAGACACAACCAGAUGAAUAGAUUUUUAUGUGUGAAGCUCUCUCUCUUUAGAAACCCUCUUAUGUAUAUGACUUAUUACUAUUCUUGUGUGUGUGUAUGACUUACUAUUACUCUUGUGUCUUUCUAAACAUUCUCAACAC